AUACGUAGGGUGCGAGCGUUGUCCGGAAUUACUGGGCGUAAAGAGCUCGUAGGUGGUUUGUCGCGUCGUCUGUGAAAUUCCGGGGCUUAACUCCGGGCGUGCAGGCGAUACGGGCAUAACUUGAGUACUGUAGGGGAGACUGGAAUUCCUGGUGUAGCGGUGAAAUGCGCAGAUAUCAGGAGGAACACCGGUGGCGAAGGCGGGUCUCGGGGCAGUAACUGACGCUGAGGGGCGAAAGCAUGGGUAGCGAACAGGAUUAGAUACCCUGGUAGUCCAUGCCGUAAACGGUGGGCGCUAGGGGUAGGGGUCUUCCACGACUUCUGUGCCGUAGCUAACGCAUUAAGCGCCCCGCCUGGGGAGUACGGCCGCAAGGCUAAAACUCAAAUGAAUUGACGGGG
rnacentral:rRNA from 1 species